GGGGAUUAAGCUCAGUGGUAGAGCACUUGCCUAGCAAGCACAAGGCCCUGGGUUCAGUCCCCA
rnacentral:tRNA from 1 species